AGGCUGCCCGGGGUGACAAGGGCGGGUCGGAGCCCAUCCACGCUCAAGGAAGUGGCUGCAGGCCCUGACGCCUUGGCAGGAAUCUGGAGCCGGGACACAGUCACUGGAAGUCACCGGGAAACAAACCCCUCCUUCGUUCCCGCGUAGACUAAUCAGCCGGUUAGCUUGCUGCACUGUGACCCAGUGGACUUGCUACAGGCAGGGUUGCAUUGACAGGCCUUCCCGGCCUGGCUGGGGCACCUAGAACGGACUCCAUUGGGAUUGGGAUCGGGGAUGCUCUGGACGCCCAGAGGCCGAGACUCUUCUCCUGGGAGGCUGCCCAGAAGACAGGAGACACGACAAGGAGAAGAAGUCCAAGAGACACGACAGGAGGCGCGUCGAGGAGACGGAAGCCAGAUGGCACUGCCGGCGAAGCCUUGCCCUUUGGUGUGGACGUACCCGCUGUUUGCAGGCCGUUUCCUAGAUGCUGCCAUGUGCAUAGUCCUCACUAAUUACCUUACAGAAAUGGGCACGUGUAUUAUUUCCAAUCUGCAAUUUUAUCCAUGUUCUAGAUAUCUUCUAGAGCCGCGUUAAAGUGCGGACUUCUCUAGGAGGCCGAAGGCAUCUUUUCUCCGUCUGAGCCCUGACAUCCGGAUCAAGCAUAAUCCUGCUUGGCGUUGGGAGUUCGUAUGUGCAUGUGUGUGUCCUACGUGCUCUGUGUUUUAUAAAAGAUUUUAUUUGACAGAGAGAGCGUGCAAGUAGGGGGAGAGGGAGGGGGAGAGGGAGAGGCUGGCUCCCCGCUGAGCAAGGAGCCCAGGGCAGGACUCGAUCCCAGGAUCCCGGGACCAUGACCUGAGCUGAAGGCGGAUGGACGCCCAACCACCUGAGCCCCCCAGGCUCCCCUGCUGUUUUUCACUUUAUAGGUCACUAUGCAAGGCUCAGUUUCCUGAUCCGUAAAUUGAGAAUUUUAACGCUUGACUCGUGUUUGAGGCACACGAAACAGGACACCGCACCGGGGUUUCACGUACAGGGCUCGACACGCAGUGGG
rnacentral:lncRNA from 12 species